UUUUCACGCACGCGUCAUCCCUCUCUCUCGUUUCCUCUCCCCCCCGCUCUAGGGUUCUCAGCCCCACUGCACCGCCGCCGCAGCCCACAACCCCUCCCAGUCUCCCUUCCAAUUCACCUUCUCUCCUCCCGUGAUGGCACCAGAUCAUUCCCCCAGCUUCUUUGUGCGCAGCCGCCGGCCUUAUCCUCUUCACCGACGGGAGGAGGCGAGUAGCAGCCGCACCAGGUGGCCAGCAAGAAAGACGGCCGGGCAUGGCUCCACCUCUCCCAUCCUCUGCUCCUCUCCAUUGCGCGAAGCGGUCCAAAGGAAGUGGCAGCAAAAGGGCUGCCCACACAGGACUAGCGGCGCAGAUGACGACGACACGACAGAGGAUGGGUUGGACUGUCCCGGUUGGCGUGGUGGCAGCUGGGUUGUGUGAGCAGCCGGCAUCGAGGAGGAAGAGUCGCGGCUUAGGACCUUGCACUACGAUAGUGCAUCUUCUGCUGUCGCACCGGCGGAGUCCUAGAUCUAGCCGGUAUUGUGGGAACCAAGUGUACAUCUAGGGAUUUCUUUGAUUUGAAAAGAUAGUAUUACAGGCUUCUUCUAAAUUUCAGAAACAUGGUUGUUGCAAAUGGCAACAUUGACAUGGAGGAAGGAACCCUUGAAAUCAGGAAGGAUUACAUGACCGUUUUUGGACUUGCUGCUCCCUUCUGGUUCUUGAUAAAGUGAAUUUACAGGUGAAGCAAGUAUGCAGAGAGAGGGUGUGUACCUACAGGAUAUCAAAUCUUCUUCAUCAUGUACGGCCAAUGAUUGUGCUACUUCUCCUGAAAAAAGGAAAAUCAGCUUCAAUAGUGAUAUAUCUAACAUAUUAUUUUUAAAGCGUGGAACAUACUCAUUCACAUAGCUACUUCAAGCACAAAUGAUGUAAAAGGUGAGAGAAAAUCAAAACAUGAUGCAAAUUGGAGUAGGAUAUCCUGGUAAAAAAAGUGUACUUAUACAUUGAUUUUCCUUUGUUUCUAGUAGGAACAUUAUUCAGGGUUAGAGUCACACAUACAAAAUGAUGACGGCCAGAUGAACACUGCAGCAUGAAGAAAUGAUCAGACAACACCAAAUAGAAAUACUGAAGAUAACAUGACAGUAGGCAUGGCAAAAAAAUAGAGUAAACUAGCAAAAGAGUAUA